AACCUCUGCAAUAGGCGAAAGCUUGACAGGGUUACUCUGAGUGAUUUCCGUUAAGGAGAUCUUUUGGCACCUCUAAAAAUGGUGCAGAAUAAGGGGUGGGCAAGUCUGGUGUCAGCCGCCGCGGUAAUACCAGCACCCCGAGUGGUCGGGACGUUUAUUGGGCCUAAAGCAUCCGUAGCCGGUUCUACAAGUCUUCCGUUAAAUCCACCUGCUCAACAGAUGGGCUGCGGAAGAUACUAUGGAGCUAGGAGGCGGGAGAGGCAAGCGGUACUCGAUGGGUAGGGGUAAAAUCCGUUGAUCCAUUGAAGACCACCAGUGGCGAAGGCGGCUUGCCAGAACGCGCUCGACGGUGAGGGAUGAAAGCUGGGGGAGCAAACCGGAUUAGAUACCCGGGUAGUCCCAGCUGUAAACGAUGCAGACUCGGUGAUGAGUUGGCUUUAUGCCAACUCAGUGCCGCAGGGAAGCCGUUAAGUUUGCCGCCUGGGAGUACGUCGCAAUGAGGUU
rnacentral:rRNA from 1 species